rnacentral:lncRNA from 1 species
CAACGUCAUCAACAGUCAAGGCAGACAUCUUUCUUCAAGAAAUCUGCCCAAAAGGAAAAACACUGAAAUUGGACCAGUAAAGCUGCAAGACUUUGUCGGCCAGUCAAAAGUGGACGCUGCAAUCCAAGGUGAAACUUUCUUUCUCAUGGUGGGGCACACGCAUGAAGAUUUGGAUCAACUGUUAAGUGUUUAGUGCAAGGGAACUUAGACAGAAGCCUGCAACAACCCGCGAUGCCCUCCUUCAAGAUUGGGGACAUCCGGACACCCACCACCAAGCUAUCAGACUUCAAGCCCUUCAUGCCUGCCCCAAGGGAAGCGACAACCCUCCCAACUAAAGUUCAAGAGGCAAUAGAGAAGAACAAUGAAAAACUGCAAAAACAAUCAAAGAUCACUCUGACAAAGCACCGAAGACAAGCGUCAGUAUCAGAACAAUAAAGAAG